rnacentral:lncRNA from 1 species
AAUAGAGGCUGGCCCAAAAGGGUUGCCAAAAUGAGCAGAUGAAAAUACAGGAUGUCCAGUUAAAGUUGACUGUCAGAUAUUUAUACUAAAAAAGAGUAUUCAUUGUUUAUGACAUUCAAAUUUAACUGCGCAGUCUGUAUUUCAUUUGUCAUCCAUACAUCCCAGAUGUUGACGGGAGAGAAGAAGCCAUUCCUGCAAUUUUCUUUGUUUAUUUUUGUUUUUGUUUUUUAAAUUGUUUACCUGAAUUUCCACAACCUUGCUAGCCUGUGGAUGCAAAUGAGCUCACUUAAAAAUAACAGAUGCCCUGGGCUGCCGGCUAAUGCAGGACUUUGUCCCUCUGCUCCUCACAGUCUGGGGACUCCCCAGAAGCUGCUGUUUUCCGGUUCGGUGCCCGCUGCCUUCUAGGCCACAGGAGGGCAGCGGUCGCCUGGCCACAGCCAUGUACCUUAGUGCCCUCUGCUGGUGAGCCCUGACAGCAAACUCCAGAGAUGCCCAAGGGCUCUGGGCUCCUCAACUGGCCCAUCAGGCCAGAGCUCCUCCGGGGACUGGAGAAACGCUCCCUUUUCUGACUUCUCGCUGGGCUUGACAGCAGAUGGUGUCUCCAGCUGCUCCGCCUCUGCCCUCCCUGCUUCACCCACCCCCUCUCCCCAUAAGCUCCUUCUGCCUUUGUAAGUGCCAGUGAACAGGUGACAUUCAGUCCAUGCCUCCUCUUGGUUCCCCCUGCACCAAAUGCUCAGUGUGGCUCCAUGCAUUUGGAGGAUCCAGUGCCAGGCUGGCCAGCUGUGGGAAAGCCCACCAUUCCCGGAGGUCACUCCUGCUCCAUCACCCACACCAUCCUGGGGGCCGGGACCCCAGGGAAACCCCUGGACUGCCAGAUGAGCCUGUUCAUUCAUCUCUAUCCAUUUAAAGC